rnacentral:lncRNA from 1 species
GCAUAACUGACUCUGGACCAAAUGUUUGUCACGUGUGAAAAAAGCUGGGGGUGAGACAGGCCUGGAAUGAGAUUCUAGUCCAGCUCAGACCCUGAGCAAGGCCCAGGUGCAGGCAAUUCUUUGCCAGGUGAUUCCUGGAGCACAAGGAGUGAUGGGAGAGGAGACGGAAGGGGGAGGUGGCAGUGCGUUCUGCCGGGUUAGCUGCGUGGGCACCUGGGACUCCAUUCUACGGGGAUCUGAGGAACCAGUUGCUGCCUGGACUGCUCAGCUGCAUGUGGUCUGUGGGUUUUUCUCUCCACUCCCUGGAAAGGAUAUUCGUGCUGCUUCCAGCUCCCGCCACCUUUACCAACAACGCAAGGCAGAGCUCCAUCCUCGGCCAGUGACAGGUUUGUGGGAGCAUGGGGGCGGGGUAGGGCGGGUGACACAGGGGCAGAAUUUCUGGGUCAUGGAUGAGCGUCUCUUCUUUUGAGUAAGGAGUGUGCGGCUGUAUUGGUUUAUACUUGCGCCCACCAGCGGGGCAGAAGGUCCUUCUAGUGCAGUAGGUCUAAAACAUUAUCUCGUUGUUUUAAUUCUCAAUUUCUCUGAUUACUAACAGCUUUAAGCAGUUGUUAGCUUUUGGGUUUUGUCUGUGUCAGUUGCUUGUUCGUAAUCUUUGCCCAUUUUUCUUUGGGGUCUGCUGGGUUUUUUUUUUUUUUUCUUGUAAAUUUGCAGAAGGUCUUAAAAGUUUUGGAUAUCAAUUUCUUGUUGCUUUUAGAUGUUGCAAAUAUUUUCUCCGAUUUUUUUUUUUUGGUCUGUGAGCUUUGUUGAGCAUAGAUCCUUAGGUGUUUUUGUUUGUUUGUUUUUUGCUUUUUAGGGCUGCACCUGCGGCAUAUGGACAUUCCCAGGCUAGGGGUUGAAUUAGAGCUACAGCUGCCAGCCUACACCACAGCCACAGCAACGCAGGAUCCGAGCUGCAUCUGCGACCUACACCACAGCUCAACACCAGAUCCUUAACCCACUGAGUGAGGCCAGGGAUUGAACCUGCAUCCUCAUGGAUCCUAGUUGGGUUUGUUAACCGCUGAGCCACAAAGAGAACUCCAUGGAUCCUUAGUUUUGCUGAAACAAAAUUCACCAAUACUUUGCCUUAUUCUUUGACCUUUCUUGGAGGAGGAAGAAAUGUAAACAGGAGAGUGUUACCACAGUGUGCCUAGUGCAGUGGCCAAGUCAAGGGUCUGGGGAUGGACAAGAGGGCAGGUGUCCUUGGGGAGCACGGGGGGUUAAGGAGCCUGUGAGGGGCAGCACUCAGAGAAUAGGACUUGGAAACAGAUGGAAAGGUGUGUCUCAGGGCAGGACAAGGGCAUAGGAGCGAGUUGUCAGGGAGGCCAAGCCCAGGAGACAUCCUGAUGUCUCUGCAUCAUCUCUUGGUCUCCGCUGACCGUACUGUGCCGUGGGUGCUUCCUGUGCACGCAGGUGUGUCUCCAUCACAGGUGCCCAUCAUGGGUCUCCGUUCUCCUGCCUCAGGGAGUUCACGCUCCUGGGAGGUGAGCAGUAGGGGCCACGAGCACAGCUCAACCCGAGCCCUUUGUCCUUUCAGUGGGUAACCCUAGGGUGCUUUCUGCCCAUCCCUCAGAGGAGCCAGGGAGGGUGUGAGCCCCGGGUGCCCACAGCGGGAGUCCAGUGACAUGUGCUCUUUCCUUGCUCCACUUCCCCGCACCUCACUUCUGCCUCCUGGGCCGCCCCCCAAAUCAACUACCUGCCCCCAUGUCCUCCUCCUGGGCGCUGCUUUGCCUGAACCCAAACAAAGACCCCCCAUGGGAUAGAGAGUUUAAAUGAAAGAGAUCAAAGACUUGUCCAAAUGGGACGAUAUGGGCGGCAAGAUGCCUUCAGGGGAGUGGCUGUUGGAUUGGCAAUGACCAAUUUGAUGGAGUGAUGGGUGAGUUUCAAGGACUGGGGAGCAAAUGAAGGUGGAGACAGCAAGUGUGGCUUUGAGACGUUUAGAGGAGGAGGCAGGACAAGGUCCCUUCGAUAGUCAGCUGUCCCCAGCCCCACCCCCCAAUUCCCAUCCACUCUGCUCCUCCCUACCCUCACUCCCCUCAACAGAGAUCAUCUCUGGUCACCUUUAAGGGAUGGCGUCACUUUGUAAAAUUUUUUUCUGGAAUUUUCCGUGAUGAUGUUCCAGUACUCCAAGGGCUAGCAUCCAUGGGGGUGGGGUCUCUGUCCCUCUCUCGGUGAUCUGGAACCUCAGCCUGUGCACCCGGCUGUGUUUGGAACUAUUGUCUGCUUUUUGAAUCUGCCUCUGACAUCCACCCAGCCGGCCCCAGCCGUGAGGUCAGUGGCAGCUGACGGUGGAAAAAGCAGCAGAGACAAAACAUAACCAUCUGUCCGAGGUCAGCCAGGAAGCCUGCGGCAGCCUUGAGCCUGGAACACAGAGAACAGAUCUCCCAGCCCAGCAGCAGCAUGAGGAGCUGGGCCCACACACUUCCAGGGGGGGCAGGAUAGGAAAAGGAAGUUGUCGCUCCUUUCUCUCUGCAGGGAAAUACCCCGUGGGUGCUGGCAGCAUCUGUGGGGCCACCUGCAGGAGGCCAGGCUCUGUCACGAGAGGGAGGGGGAUGUCUGCUGGCUGGGGCCUGGCCACCCACGGUCCAGGCCAGACUUGGGAGGCUUCUGUCUUGAGCUGUAGGGCGCGUGCACAUACCAGUGGGCUAACAAGACUGGCUUUCUCCCUCCAGGGCCCAAGUUCAAGUUCAGGUCCUGGGGUUUGGAAGGAAAAGAGAAAAGGCAGGAAAAGAGGAAUGGAGGGGGGAGGCCUCACACCUGGAGGGACAGAACGAUGCUGCUGACCUUGACCACAAGGAGACACUCAGCCAGGAGGAGCAGGUGUGGGUGUGGCUGUCAUAUUAACAAACCCACAGGAUUAACAACAAGCGUCUUCCUCCUGAAGUUAGGAAAAUAAAAUGUUAUCUUUCUGAGUGUGUGUGAAAGCAGGAAGCACAGAUACAUUAAGGCGUAGGAUGUAAAAUUGUGACGUUAAAGUGACAAUAGGAGGAGUUCCUGUCGUGGCUCAGCAGUUAAAAUGAACCCGACUAGGAUCCAUGAAGACUUGGGUUCAAUCUCUGGCCUCGCUCAGUGGGUUAAGGAUCCAGCAUUGCCAUGAGCUGUGGUGUAGGUCACAGACUCUGCUCGGAUCCCAUGUUGCUGUGGCUGUGGCGUAGGCCAAUGGCUACAGCUCCGAUUGGACCCCUAGCCUGGGGACCUCCAUAUGCAAGGGGUGUGGGCCUAAAAAGACAAAAAGAAAUAAAGCAACAAUAGGAGAUUUUAAGGAAAAGUCUCCUAAGAUGCUGAGCUCCAGGCCUCCAGGGCAAUGACAAGCUCUCCUCUGCCAUUAGGAGACUUUAGCCAGAGUGUGAGAAGCACCUGUCUAGUCCAGGACUAUGCUGGUAAAUAUUUAGCAACCAGCUCUCUCUCUCUCAAAAAAAAAAAAAAAAAAAAAAAAAAAA